GAUGAACGCUGGCGGCGUGCUUAACACAUGCAAGUCGAACGAUGAAGCUGGAGCUUGCUCUGGUGGAUUAGUGGCGAACGGGUGAGUAACACGUGAGCAACCUGCCCCUGACUCUGGGAUAACAGCCGGAAACGGCUGCUAAUACCGGAUAUGCACCAUGAACGCAUGUUCUGUGGUGGGAAGGAUUUUUCGGUUGGGGAUGGGCUCGCGGCCUAUCAGCUUGUUGGUGAGGUAAUGGCUCACCAAGGCGUCGACGGGUAGCCGGCCUGAGAGGGGGACCGGCCACACUGGGACUGAGACACGGCCCAGACUCCUACGGGAGGCAGCAGUGGGGAAUAUUGCACAAUGGGCGAAAGCCUGAUGCAGCAACGCCGCGUGAGGGAUGACGGCCUUCGGGUUGUAAACCUCUUUUAGCAGGGAAGAAGCGAGAGUGACGGUACCUGCAGAAAAAGCGCCGGCUAACUACGUG
rnacentral:rRNA from 1 species